rnacentral:rRNA from 1 species
CAGUCGAACGAGCGAGAGAGAGCUUACUUUCUCAAGCGAGUGGCGAACGGGUGCGUUACGCGUGAGGAACCUGCCUCAAAGAGGGGGACAACAGUUGGAAACGACUGCUAAUACCGCAUAAGCCCACGACCCGGCAUCGGGUAGAGGGAAAAGGAGCAAUCCGCUUUGAGAUGGCCUCGCGUCCGAUUAGCUAGUUGGUGAGGUAACGGCCCACCAAGGCGACGAUCGGUAGCCGGACUGAGAGGUUGAACGGCCACAUUGGGACUGAGACACGGCCCAGACUCCUACGGGAGGCAGCAGUGGGGAAUAUUGCACAAUGGGGGAAACCCUGAUGCAGCGACGCCGCGUGGAGGAAGAAGGUCUUCGGAUUGUAAACUCCUGUUGUUGAGGAAGAUAAUGACGGUACUCAACAAGGAAGUGACGGCUAACUACGUGCCAGCAGCCGCGGUAAAACGUAGGUCACAAGCGUUGUCCGGAAUUACUGGGUGUAAAGGGAGCGCAGGCGGGAAGACAAGUUGGAAGUGAAAUCCAUGGGCUCAACCCAUGAACUGCUUUCAAAACUGUUUUUCUUGAGUAGUGCAGAGGUAGGCGGAAUUCCCGGUGUAGCGGUGGAAUGCGUAGAUAUCGGGAGGAACACCAGUGGCGAAGGCGGCCUACUGGGCACCAACUGACGCUGAGGCUCGAAAGUGUGGGUAGCAAACAGGAUUAGAUACCCUGGUAGUCCACACUGUAAACGAUGAUUACUAGGUGUUGGAGGAUUGACCCCUUCAGUGCCGCAGUUAACACAAUAAGUAAUCCACCUGGGGAGUACGACCGCAA